GCCGGGGUGCAGUGGUGCACACCUGUAAUCCCAGCAGCUCAGGAGGCUGAGGCAGGAGGAUUGAGAGUUCAAAGCCAGCCUCAGCAACUCAGAGAGACCCUGCCUCAA
rnacentral:sRNA from 1 species